rnacentral:rRNA from 1 species
UAUGUGAUCGUCUCUCGCAUAUCAAUAAGCGGAGGAAAAGAAACUAACAAGGAUUCCCCUAGUAACGGCGAGUGAAGCGGGAAGAGCUCAAAUUUGAAAUCUUAAAGGGUUUCCCUUUACGAAUUGUAGUUUAAAGAAGUGUUUUCUGUUGAGGUUUUGGUAAAAGUUCUUUGGAAUAGGACAUCAUAGAGGGUGAGAAUCCCGUAUUUGACCUUUACUUUCAACUUUGUGAUACACUUUCAAAGAGUCGGAUUGUUUGGGAAUGCAGUCCAAAAUGGGUGGUAAAUUUCAUCUAAAGCUAAAUAUUGGCGAGAGACCGAUAGCGAACAAGUACCGUGAGGGAAAGAUGAAAAGAACUUUGAAAAGAGAGUUAAACAGUACGUGAAAUUGUCGAAAGGGAAGCGUUUGACACCAGUGUUGUUUUUCUGAAAAUCAAUUAAAGAACUGUUUAUGCUAAGCUGUUUAGACUUUAUCAGCUAUCUGUUUAGUUUUGAGCUUUUCUUUAAUGCACUUUUCAGUUAACAAGUCAACAUCAAUUUCUUUUGCUGUAAAAAAGCUUGAGGAAGGUGGCUUGAGAUUCGUCUUAAGUGUUUAUAGCCUCUUGCCUAUGCAGUCGGAGAGAUUGAGGUCUGCAGCGUAGAUCCUUCGGGGCUAAAUGCAUUUGUGCUAAGUUAUAGCAUUUUAUAGACAACUUGUUGACUAUGAUUUGUCUUGUAGCUUACUCGCUUAUGUUAUUUUACCUACGCUUAGGAUGUUGAGCGCAUGUCUCUCUCU